GACAGAGGAUGCAAGCGUUAUCCGGAAUGAUUGGGCGUAAAGCGUCUGUAGGUGGCUUUUUAAGUCCGCCGUCAAAUCCCAGGGCUCAACCCUGGACAGGCGGUGGAAACUACCAAGCUGGAGUACGGUAGGGGCAGAGGGAAUUUCCGGUGGAGCGGUGAAAUGCGUAGAUAUCGUUUGGAACGCCAAUGGUGAAAACAGGUUGCUGGGAGCGUGCUGACGCUGAGACACGAAAGCCAGGGGAGCAAACGGG
rnacentral:rRNA from 1 species